CGGAGGGUGCGAGCGUUGUCCGGAAUCAUUGGGCGUAAAGGGCGCGUAGGUGGCCCGGUCAGUCCGUGGUGAAAGCGCGGGGCUCAACCCCGCGUCGGCCAGGGAUACUGCCGCGGCUGGAGCACUGUAGAGGCAGGCGGAAUUCCGGGUGUAGCGGUGGAAUGCGUAGAGAUCCGGAAGAACACCGGUGGCGAAGGCGGCCUGCUGGGCAGUGGCUGACACUGAGGCGCGACAGCGUGGGGAGCAAACAGGAUUAGAUACCCUGGUAGUCCACGCCGUAAACGAUGGGCACUAGGCGCUUGGGGGAGCGACCCCCCGAGGGCCGGCGCUAACGCAUUAAGUGCCCCGCCUGGGGAGCACGGCCGCAAGGCUG
rnacentral:rRNA from 1 species